rfam:Aspergillus terreus NIH2624 scaffold_1 genomic scaffold, whole genome shotgun sequence.
GGUCGGGUGGCCUAAUGGUAAGGCAUCGGUUUCCGGUACCGGGGAUUGCGGGUUCGAGUCCCGUCUCGAUCG